rnacentral:lncRNA from 1 species
GCCAGGACUGCUACAUGCUUGAUGAUUGCGAUGCCAUAAAGGCUAAGAAAAAUAUUAGAUUUGCUUCGGCGCACCCCGUAGAAAUAUUUUACGGAUCUCAAAGCCAAGAUGGCUAUUAAUUAAACGAAAAUUAUGUGCUUUUAGAUCAUGAUGUUUCCUUCAAAACCCUAACCCAAAUUAGUAAUUUUCCCUGUUGCCGAAGAUUUUUAACCUAGCUUAUAAUGCUUUUUCGAAAGAAGAUUAGGACCAUGAUUUUUGCCCCUCGCAUGUCACCUACUACAUCGUACUUCCAUUGAAUAUCAAAACUGAAUGUCCUGAAUUGUGGUAAAGAUAAGACAGAUCGGCCGCCGCCGCCCAUGCGUAGCAAUUCAUCCGUGCCAUGUGGCAUUCAAUUCAAAGAUCUAUCAGCCAACGACGAAAGAUACAAAAGACACGUGCAUCGGUAAUCUAAUGCACAAGAUCCGGUUGAUCAAACAAGAGUACUAUAUUGAUUCUAAGAAAACGACGAUUUUAGAUCUGAUUAGGAUUUUAGAAAACGACAAUCAACAUAUACUAUUCCGGUUAUCCGGUUUUUCUUCUUGAGAAAUUCGUUAUUCACUUUAUCACGUACAUAUGUGUUUUAUGUACCACCCCAUGAGAAGUUCAUUCGGUGCAAGCCGGGUUAAGUUGCGGUGUACCGGCCGGAAAGGUGAUGGAUCAAUAAAUCAGUUAGAUCAGAAUGUUUUCCUUUUUACAACUAGGGUUUAUUAUCCCUCGAUAAAUCAGUUAGAGAAUGGGCAGGGACUAUUUGGCGGUCGUCCGCCAGGACAGAAGGUAGUGGUCAAAUUCAUUUUUUUCAAAUUUUGCUUUUCAAAAUUAGCUUUUAAUUUCUACCACUUUUUAUUUUGCAAGCUUUUUUGUUUUUAUUUUGUUGUUUCUAGCCUUCGACAGACAUGACGAGCUGAGCAGAGGAAAUGAGACAAAGAUAAAAGUGAGAGAGAAGACCGUUCAUGAUUUUUUUUUUGAGAGUAAGAAGACUGACCGUUCGAUGAUAAUACGAAGGGAAGGUGCUCGUCUUUUUUUUUUGAGGGAACCGCCACUUUAUUACUGAGCCAACAAAUGGGGGAUACAAUUGGGAUCGGGCGACUCUACUAGCCAAACAUGUCGGCCUUCCUGCCGAGAAGUCGAUGCCCUCGCCAGCGUGUGCGCCUCCAUGUUCGAUGCUCUGCCUUCAUGCACAAACUCAACAGAAGCAAAGCGAGGAUAGCAGCUCUUGAUCUCCUGCAGAACUAGGGCGAACCGGCCCAGGUUGUCACCCUUCAGAGCCGUGAUGACCUCGAGGCAGUCCGAAGAGCAAGCUGUAGAUCUUCAGCAAGGGAAAGGGCUUCCCUACACGCUAGCGCCUCCAAAGUGCCAGGAUCGUUUAUUCCGGCGAUGACCUGGGCAGAAGCGCCCAGGAACCGGCCAUCCGUGUCACGGCAGACAGCGGUGACAGCUCCAGCGCACACCUGCUUUGCAACGGCCGCGUCGACAUUGAUCUUGGCGUGAUCUGCCGGUGGGGGUAGCCAUCUCUUGGUCAGCGCCGGGGCCCCCGCUCCCCUGUUGAUUUCUCGACUAGGUGUCGAGAUCUUUAAGUCACGAAGGGAAGGUGCUCGUGGGCUUCGUGCGCGGUUAGGCACGGAAGAGUCCACUAGUUGGGCCCUAAAUAUAUGUGGGCCGAUUCAGCUGGCAGGGAGUAAGAGCGCGGGCCGUGCAAUCAUAUACUCCAUAUGC